rnacentral:lncRNA from 1 species
AACAUGGAAUAAGACACAUGGAUAAAGACACAUGGAAUAAGACACAUGGAAGAAGACACAUGGAUAAAGACACAUGGAAUAAGACACAUGGAAUAAGACACAUGGAAGAAGACACAUGGAAUAAGACACAUGGAAGAAGACACAUGGAAUAAGACACAUGGAUAAAGACACAUGGAAUAAGACACAUGGAAUAAGACACAUGGAAUAACGACACAUGGAAUAAGACACAUGGAACAUGACACAUGGAAUAAGACACAUGGAAUAAAGACACAUGGAAUAAGACACAUGGAAUAAGACACAUGGAUAAAGACACAUGGACAAAGACACAUGGAAUAAAACACAUGGAAGAAGACACAUGGAAUAAGACACAUGGAUAAAGACACAUGGAAUAAGACACAUGGAAUAAGACACAUGGAAUAAGACACAUAGAUAAAGACACAUGGAAUAAGACACAUGGAUAAAGACACAUGGAUAAAGACACAUGGACAAAGACACAUGGAAUAAAACACAUGGAAGAAGACACAUGGAAUAAGACACAUGGACAAAGACACAUGGAAUAAAACACAUGGAAGAAGACACAUGGAAUAAGACACAUGGAUAAAGACACAUGGAAUAAGACACAUGGAAUAAGACACAUGGAAUAAGACACAAUGAAGAAGCCCAGCUAAUUCAUAUACAGCUGCACGCCUCUCUUUUUCUCUCUCCUCCUCCCUUCCUCCCCUCCUCCUCUCCUCACCCUCCUCCUCUCUUCUCCUCUCCUCCUCCACUCCUCACCUUCCGCCUCUCCUCCCAUCCUCUCUCUCCUUCUGUCCUCCUCUCCUCCGCCUCUCCUCCUCCUCUCCUCCCCACCUCCCCACCUCUUCUCCUCUGCUCCUCUCCCUCCUUUUCUCUUCUCCUCCUCUCCUCACCCUUCACCUCUCCUCCCAUCCUCCUCUCCUUCUGUCCUGCUCUCCUCCUCCCACCUCUUCUGUUCCUCCUCCUCUCCCUCCUCUUCUCUUCUCCUCUCCUCCUCCUCUCCUCCCAUCCUCCUCUCCUACCCGCCUCUCCUCCUCCCUUACUCCUCUCAACAAUCCUCCUCUUCUCCUCCCCCUCUUCUUCUCCCAUACUCAUCCUCUCCUCCUCCUCUUCUUCUCAUCCUCCUCCCAUCCUCCUCUCCUCCUCUCCUCCUCCCCUCCUCUCCUCAUCCUCCUCUCUUCCUCCUCCUCUCCUCCUCUCUUCUCCUCACCCUCCUCCUCUCCUCACCUUCCAUUUCUCCUCCCCUCCUGUCAUGCCUCUCUCCAUAGCCAGUGCAGACAGAUAAGCAGCCAGCCAUAGACUGGCUAAUCCACUGGGAGAAACAGACCAUGAUAGCAAGAUAAAAACCAGCUAGAUAAGCAUGGAGAGAGAGAGAAACCGAGAGAGAGAGACAGAGAGAGAGACAAAGAGACAAAGAGACAGACAGAGAGAAAGAGACAAAGAGCGAGAGAGAGACAAAGAGACAGAGAGAAAGACAUAGAGAGACAAAGAGAGACAGAGAGACAUAGACAAAGAGGGAGACAAAGAAUAAGGGACAGAAGGUUAGAGAAGAGGGGACUAGAGGUAGAGAGACAGAGAGAGGAGAAGGGACAGAAGGGAAGAGGGGACUAGAGGUAGAGAGACAGAGAGAGGAGAAGGGACAGACGGGAAGAGGGGACUAGAGGUAGAGAGACAGAGAGAGGAGAAGGGACAGACGGGAAGAGGGGACUAGAGGUAGAGAGACAGAGAGAGGAGAAGGGACAGAAAGGAAGAGGGGACUAGAGGUAGAGAAGUGCAGUAGUUGAGGAAAUAGCAGGAGGUUAAUGUGUUUGUAGUCUGCAGACAGUUUGUCUAAUUUGUUUGAGUGUGACGCCAUAUGUGUUAGUGAGGUCUGUAGAUCUCUCUCGUUCUGUCGCUCUCUCAAUUCAAUUGAAUUCAAUUCCAUUCAAAGGGAAGUAUUGGCAUGGGAAACAUAUGUUUACAUUGCCAAAACAACUGAAAUAGACAAUUAACAAAAGUGAAAUAAACAAUAAAAAAUGAACAGUAAACAAAAGAAUAAAGACAUUUUAAAUGUUAUAUUAUGGCUAUAUACAGUGUUGUAAAAAAGCCUGGAGGGAGCGGUUGAGCCGGAUUACCAGACGCCCUAAAUACCAGAUGUAUUUCUGAGUGUAUCUGAGUGGAGCCAAAGAGAGGAAGAGUGUGCAAGUUGGAGCAGAGAAUGAGUCAGAAUUUGAUUGAGAAGAGAAAGAAAGAUGCAGUUUUGCAGACAACCCAGAAGUGGUUCCCCAGAGAGACGUUUUGGAGGUUUUCGUCAGAUGUAGAGCGCUCUCUCUCUCUCUCUCUCUCUCUCUCUCUCUCUCUCUCUCUCUCUCUCUCUACCUCCCUCUCUC